rnacentral:lncRNA from 1 species
UAAAUGUGUGUUUCCAAGCCCACGCCUCCGUAAUGAAAUCACUCACGUUAGUGCGUCAGUUCUCAGCUCUCCUCCUCCUUCAACCCCCUCCCCCUCUUGUUAUGUUCACGAUGCCUUACACUACUCCCCUUUGACUGUGACAAGAAGACUCCUCCCUCUCCUACUCUCCCUCCCUCCCUCCCUCCCUCCCUCCCUCGUUCUGGAUCUCUCCAUCUCUGCCUCGUCUCAGUAGCAGUUUCUCACCGUGUUGGGGCAGCCUCAUUCUCUCCUCCAGGAUGUCGGGCCCUCUAACCAGCACCAUUCUCCUCCUCCUCCUCUCUCUCGUUCUGCUCCACUCACCAGCGCUAAAAGCAAAGCCAUUGUCUGCGGCUCAUGGCCGCAUGCGAAGCCUUGACGGCGAAAUGGUGCGUGUCCGACGGGAUCUCCGCGACUCGCUUCCGUACGAGGCUCAAAUGAUGUCAUACUCACCAGGUGAGAUGAAGGUGCGCGCCAGCGACCUGUACAGCCAAGGAGAUGCCUGGAAGGCAAAAGGUAUGAGUCAGGCUCUCCAGCAGUUGGUGGAGAAUGACCAGAGGCGGGACCAGGAGGCGGCCUACCUGGCCGGCAUGAUGCGCCUCCUAAGCCAAAUCGAUGCCAACAGCCAGGGAGGAGCCAGGGAGGAUGUGGGGGAGACCGGGGACUUCCAGGGGCCCUAUCCGCCGGACUACGACGAGACAGAGCCAGGCAUCAGCAUGGCCAAACCACAGGCAGGCUGGCAGGAUCUCUUAGACCCCCAGCUCACCCAGGCCCUGAUGAAUCGCUACAGGCAGGAAAGACUGCUACAGGAGGCAGCCAAUAGGAUCCCAGAGCAGAGAGAGCAGGACAGAGACCAAGAGGUCCUCAGAUUCCUGGUGGAGAAAAUCCUGUCAAGCCUCUCCCCUGGCAACUCCCCCAGUCCUUCAGGGGGACGUCGGGCGAAGCGAGACGUUGACACGGUCGCUGCCUCAGUGGGGCGGAGUGGUCAAGCACUGAGGCGCUCCCGGCGUUCCCUGGACGCCCCUCCUCCACCUCAGAACUCUGACCAGGUAUCGCUGAUCCGGGUGAAGAGACUCGGGGACGAAGACGAGGAGGCUGCUGAGGGAGACGCGGGACACAGGAUGACCCCCCAGCCCAUCGGCCUACAGAGGAUGAAGCGCAUUGACUUGGAGCCCCAACCGGCCCAACACACCCGCAAACGCCGCUCCCUCACCUACGACCCCAACCUGCUCGCCCAACACAUCCUGCAGUAUCUACCCUAGUGGAGCCAGACAGACAGACAGUCAGAGACAGCAAAGAGAGAUAGAAAGAUCAUGCAGAAUAUUUUGCCAGCGUUCAUGUUCAUGCAUUUUAUUCAGCAUCUAUCCACAGCAGCUCUUCUUGCACAGUAAGUGCAACAUUAAUGUCAUAUCCUGCAGAGGCGUAUAAACAGCACACCGUAUAUAAAUGUAUUUAUGAUGCUUCAUUUGUUCAAAAGCAAUGUCCACGGCGGAGGAGAGAAUGAAAUAGCUUUAAUGGGUUUACCAAGCUUCUCAAGUUCUUUUGUCAACAACCCAGCAGUGUACUGGUUGGUUGGUGUGAAAUGAUUUCAAUAUAACUGGCCCCUAUAUGUGGUCACACUUCAUUGGGUUUUGUCUCUUUGCUUUUUCUGGCAAAUUCAUGUGCUGACCCCAUCAUUCCCCAUUCUUGGCAAGACAUACAAGGCGUUCCGUUCAGUCAUGGAAUAAUAUUGAUUGCCUCCGAGACCAAACAAGUUUGCAAACGACACCAAAAUAUAUUAAAUGUCCGAGUCACUUGUUACAGCACAAGGAGCUUGAGAGUGUACAACAUAGUUCUAAUGUAGGUCUUGUGGCCUCUCAUGUGAGUGAUGCUCUCAGCAGGACUCUCCUACAGAGUCAUCCACAACCUGUCCGCCUCAGACGCCUCAUCAAGGUCAGAACACCACUGCCAAGAAGAGGGCUCCAAAUGAAUCCAUGGCAACCUGCUCCAAUCGCUUCUCCAACCCCUUACAACACCCCCCACACAUCCACACAUCCCAGCCAGGUCAGACUGCACUGCAGACACAUUAAAUUACACUUCACAGCAACCACUGGAGUUGUUCUGUUACCAAACGAAUAGCUUACAUGCCUGGCUGUCUCCCAUUUUUCCAGUCUAGGGUUGCUCCAAUUGAAUUGAGUCAGUUGCCACACCAAGAACAGCAACAUACAUAUAUCUCACAGAAACAUAUUUAUUUUUACAGUGCAGACAUAAUACUAUUGGCACUUGGAUUUUAAAGAGGACCAUUUUUCCUCACACAUUACACAAACAGCAUUUAAGUUAACAUAAUGAAAACAUCUGCAAGUUUUAAACCUUUGACUCCCACAUAGUCUAACAGUUUUGUACGAAAAGAUGUAGGCAUAGACAUCUUAGUUGGCAGGCACAAGAUCAACCAAUUCACAAUAAAGGUAAGCACAAAGGUUAUGAAGGACUUCGG